rnacentral:rRNA from 1 species
GCUCGCGGCCUAUCAGCUAGUUGGUGAGGUAAUGGCUCACCAAGGCGACGACGGGUAGCCGGCCUGAGAGGGCGACCGGCCACACUGGGACUGAGACACGGCCCAGACUCCUACGGGAGGCAGCAGUGGGGAAUAUUGCACAAUGGGCGAAAGCCUGAUGCAGCGACGCCGCGUGAGGGAUGACGGCCUUCGGGUUGUAAACCUCUUUCAGCAGGGAAGAAGCGAAAGUGACGGUACCUGCAGAAGAAGCACCGGCUAACUACGUGCCAGCAGCCGCGGUAAUACGUAGGGUGCGAGCGUUGUCCGGAAUUAUUGGGCGUAAAGAGCUUGUAGGCGGUUUGUCGCGUCUGCAGUGAAAAUCCGGGGCUCAACCUCGGACUUGCUGUGGGUACGGGCAGACUAGAGUAUGGUAGGGGAGACCGGAAUUCCUGGUGUAGCGGUGGUUUGCGCAGAUAUCAGGAGGAACACCGAUGGCGAAGGCAGGUCUCUG